rnacentral:rRNA from 1 species
UACGUAGGGGGGCAAGCGUUGUCCGGAAUUAUUGGGCGUAAAGAGCGUGUAGGCGGUCCGGUAAGUCAGCUGUGAAAGUCAAGGGCUCAACCCUUGAAUGCCGGUUGAUACUGUCGGGCUAGAGUCCGGAAGAGGCGAGUGGAAUUCCCGGUGUAGCGGUGAAAUGCGCAGAUAUCGGGAGGAACACCAGUGGCGAAGGCGGCACUCUGGGCCGGAACUGACGCUGAGGAGCGAAAGCGUGGGGAGCGAACAGG